rnacentral:rRNA from 1 species
UACGUAGGGGGCUAGCGUUGUCCGGAAUCAUUGGGCGUAAAGCGCGUGUAGGCGGCCCGGUAAGUCCGCUGUGAAAGUCGGGGGCUCAACCCUCGGAUGCCGGUGGAUACUGUCGGGCUUGAGUACGGAAGAGGCGAGUGGAAUUCCUGGUGUAGCGGUGAAAUGCGCAGAUAUCAGGAGGAACACCUAUUGCGAAGGCAGCUCGCUGGGACGUGACUGACGCUGAGACGCGAAAGCGUGGGGAGCAAACGGG